rnacentral:tRNA from 1 species
UCGGGGGUCGUUCAAUGGCAGGACAGUUGGUUUUGGUCCAACCAAUCGGGGUUCGAAUCCCUGCCCCUGAG